rnacentral:rRNA from 1 species
UACGUGGGGGGCGAACGUUGUUCGGUGUCAUUGGGCGUAAAGGGUGCGUAGGCGGCGCUGUAAGUCGGGUGUGAAAUUUCGGAGCUUAACUCCGAAACUGCAUUCGAUACUGCGGUGCUUGAGGACUGGAGAGGAGACUGGAAUUCAUGGUGUAGCAGUGAAAUGCGUAGAGAUCAUGAGGAAGACCAGUGGCGAAGGCGGGUCUCUGGACAGUUCCUGACACUGAGGCACGAAGGCCAGGGGAGCAAACGGG